rnacentral:rRNA from 1 species
GAUGAACGCUGGCGGCGUGCCUAAUACAUGCAAGUCGAGCGAACAGACGAGGAGCUUGCUCCUCUGACGUUAGCGGCGGACGGGUGAGUAACACGUGGAUAACCUACCUAUAAGACUGGGAUCACUUCGGGAAACCGGAGCUAAUACCGGAUAAUAUAUUGAACCGCAUGGUUCAAUAGUGAAAGACGGUUUUGCUGUCACUUAUAGAUGGAUCCGCGCCGCAUUAGCUAGUUGGUAAGGUAACGGCUUACCAAGGCAACGAUGCGUAGCCGACCUGAGAGGGUGAUCGGCCACACUGGAACUGAGACACGGUCCAGACUCCUACGGGAGGCAGCAGUAGGGAAUCUUCCGCAAUGGGCGAAAGCCUGACGGAGCAACGCCGCGUGAGUGAUGAAGGUCUUCGGAUCGUAAAACUCUGUUAUUAGGGAAGAACAAAUGUGUAAGUAACUAUGCACGGCUUGACGGUACCUAAUCAGAAAGCCACGGCUAACUACGUG